rfam:Tupaia chinensis contig26182, whole genome shotgun sequence.
GUGCUCGCUUUGGCAGCACAUAUACUAAAAUUGGAACAAUACAGAGAAGAUUGGCAUGGCCCCUGUGCAAGGAGGACAUGCAAAUUCAUGAAGCGUUGCAUAUUUUU